AGAUUCUGAAACAUCAUCACUUCAGAUCUCUUACUCAUUCUCAAUUCACAAUUCUCAAUUCUCUCUGUUAAUCGAAUCUUGCAACAAAAAACCCAGAAAAAUGGACAGACAAACAGCAACUUUCGUGGACCUCCUUCUCGCCAUCCUUCUUCCUCCUCUUGGUGUUUUCUUGAAGUAUGAGUGUCAGACCGAGUUUUGGAUCUGCGUGUUGUUGACAUUAUUCGGAUAUCUUCCUGGGAUCAUCUAUGCUAUUUGGGUCAUCGUCAGGUAAGGUGUGAAAAGGGACCUUAGAUCUCAUUGGUGACGACAAAGAUGUAGCAGAGUUUUCUUUUUUAGUUUUAUUUACAAUCCAUCGUAAAAAAUUUGUUUCUGUAAUGUAUGAAACUAUUGAUUGUUGAUUUGUUGAAUUUCUUCGAGUAUCAAAAGCAGAAUUCUGAAUAUUGAAAAUGUUGUUACUGAUGAGUCUUGUAUAAUAAUUCCUAAACUUCAUUACGUACACCAUUUAAAGUUUAA